GGGGAGUUGCCCGAGCGGCCAAAGGGGACAGACUGUAAAUCUGUUGGCUUUUAGCCUUCAAUGGUUCGAAUCCAUUACUCCCCA
rfam:Omnitrophica bacterium RIFOXYB12_FTLL_50_7 rifoxyb3_full_scaffold_3056, whole genome shotgun sequence.